AUUCCAAGCCAAGGGGGACAAAUUUAUUAUAAAUAAACCUCCCAAAAGCCUCUCAAGGGAUCUAAUCUCAUAUCUAAAGGCUAGAAAGCAUAUUACAAAAUUAGAAGAAGUUCUUCCAAGUUGAAUUCCCCGUUAGACAAUGGUAGGCUUAUGUACCUGAUAUUGCAGGGGUUAAGAUACCAUCUCCAAUAACCAUAGAAGUUCCCAGCAGAACCAACAGCAGCAAAAGAGUUUUCAAAGAUGACCUCUUUUCCAAAGUCUCCUUUAUGUUCAGAGCUCUUUCCAGCUCUGGAGUGGGCAGCUUCAGCUUAAAACUAGAAAUAUGCUCAUCAGCUUGCUGACGAUUAGGAAGCAGAUUCACAUCAGCAUACCUGCAAAUGAGAGAGUAUAGUGCAAAUGUUCCACCUACAGGUGAAUCCGUUAAUGAAUGAGAACUCUGAUUUACAAUUACUGAACCAAAGUAAAUAAUCCACAGUAGGAAUAUUUAUGUAUUACCUUCA